GACGAACGCUGGCGGCGUGCUUAACACAUGCAAGUCGAACGGAAAGGCCCUGCUUUUGUGGGGUGCUCGAGUGGCGAACGGGUGAGUAACACGUGAGUAACCUGCCCUUGACUUUGGGAUAACUUCAGGAAACUGGGGCUAAUACCGGAUAGGAGCUCCUGCUGCAUGGUGGGGGUUGGAAAGUUUCGGCGGUUGGGGAUGGACUCCGGGGUUAUCAGCUUGUUGGUGGGGUAGUGGCUUACCAAGGCUUUGACGGGUAGCCGGCCUGAGAGGGUGACCGGCCACAUUGGGACUGAGAGACGGCCCAGACUCCUACGGGAGGCAGCAGUGGGGAAUAUUGCACAAUGGGCGGAAGCCUGAUGCAGCAACGCCGCGUGCGGGAUGACGGCCUUCGGGUUGUAAACCGAUUUCGCCUGUGACGAAGCGUGAGUGACGGUAAUGGGUAAAGAAGCACCGGCUAACUACGUG
rnacentral:rRNA from 1 species